AAAGGUAUGAUUAUAACAAAGUUAUUAUUAUUACACAAGAGUUUCCAUUUUCUCUCUUUUGUCUCUCUACUCCUCGUUGCCGGAAACUCCCUCGGCCUGAGAAGCUCCUCCAUCUGUAAUGAUAUCAGAGCAAAGAGAUUGAUCAAUGGAGCACAUGGAGACUUCCUGUAUCGCGUCUGCUGCUGGGUUGGCUGCAAAAAAAUGGGACGAGAUCUUAGGACUGGAAACAAACCGCAGAGAGAAAAGAUACAAACUGGAACGUGGUGAUAAAGCUCAUUUACCUGUAACUUGGGACGAAGAGCUUCAAGAGGUCCCUUUGGCUUCGCAACACCUUGCUGUUUACAAGAAAAUAAUCAUAACAAGGAACAUUAUGUAGAGAUGUUAUAUUUGAUGAUAAACAACAACACUGGUGGAAUCAAAGUUUUAACCAUUUUACCU